ensembl:sense_intronic
AUGCUACAGGCAGAUUUCUCCUUGGUGGUUGAAAGUGACCCUAAUAUCAUAGUAGAUGCAUCCUGUGAGUUGCAUUUAAUUGUCAGCCUGUUUGCCCCUUGUAUGACUCUGUUAGCAAAACCCAUGAGGAGUCAAGUGGGGCUUAUCCCCGUGCAGUCAGUAAGUAAUUAGCAAAUGUAAGAAUAAGGCAGAGGUGGAAAAAAAAACCCACAGGGUUCCCAGAGUUUCAGUAGGUCAUGCUAGGGAUUUCUAACUCACAUUUUGUUCUCUACCACUCUCUAGGGGGGUUUCUUUGCUCCUUAGACCUUGGAAACUUCUAAGCAGAAUAAGAGAUCCUGUUUGGAGAUCUUAUCUUCAUGCCUCCUUUCUGGGUGUCCCUUUUUUCUUCUCUCUCACCAGCCUGGCAUUCCUCCUCCAUACCUCUUAAGUGCCAGAUUCUGUCAUCCUGGAUGGAGUGCAAAAGCUACAGUGUAAUCUCACAUUCUUUCAGGGCCACUGACCAGAGGAAACACAAGCUAGCCCGACCAGGCUCUCCUGAUGCUGACCAGCCAAUGGCCCUGCAGUUUCCUCUGUGUUUAGAAUUCCUUAUCUGGCAUUGCUAGCAAAUGCUCAAGCCCACAAGUCAACUAGAAGCUUAUCUGUAGGGCUGGAGCUUCAAAGAGAUAGCCAUACACUGUUCCUCGGGGUCAGAGGCUCUGUGACAGUGUGAGAUGGGAGGCUUUUGGGAUCAGUCAAUUUAACACGGGUAACACAACUCAUUCACUUCUUUUUUGAAACAGGGUUCAUUGCUUUCUCUUUUCUCAUUUGAGGAACACCUCUUGGUAUAUUAGUACAAGAAAAGUGUGGAAAAUUUAACAGGAAGUGGAAAGAACACAUUCCCUAAAGACUGUUGUUACUGGCUUUUCUAUAUGAAUGCUGGCCAGCCAUUGUUUUAUAUUUGUUACUAUGUUAUUAUUAUUUUGGUGUUGCUGGGAUUCU